GCCCGCUCAGAAACUUAAAGAAUUGACGGGGGCCCGCACAAGCGGUGGAGUAUGUGGUUUAAUUCGAUGCAACGCGAAGAACCUUACCUGGUCUUGACAUCCCGGAGACCCUUAGGAAACUAGGGGUGCUUCCAUCUGGAAGAAUCUGGAGACAGGUGCUGCAUGGCUGUCGUCAGCUCGUGUCGUGAGAUGUUGGGUUAAGUCCGCAACGAGCGCAACCCUUGCCUUUAGUUGCCAGCAGUUCGGCUGGGCACUCUAAAGGGACUGCCGGUGUUAAACCGGAGGAAGGUGGGGAUGACGUCAAGUCCUCAUGGCCCUUACGGCCUGGGCUACACACGUGCUACAAUGGUCGGUACAAAGGGUUGCCAAGCCGCGAGGUGGAGCUAAUCCCAUAAAACCGAUCGUAGUCCGGAUCGCAGUCUGCAACUCGACUGCGUGAAGUCGGAAUCGCUAGUAAUCGUGAAUCAGAAUGUCACGGUGAAUACGUUCCCGGGCCUU
rnacentral:rRNA from 1 species